AUGAACGCUGGCGGCGUGCCUCAUACCUGCCAGUCGAGCGCACAGACGAGGAGCUUGCUCCUCUGACGUUAGCGGCGGACGGGUGAGUAACACGUGGAUAACCUACCUAUAAGACUGGGAUAACUUCGGGAAACCGGAGCUAAUACCGGAUAAUAUAUUGAACCGCAUGGUUCAAUAGUGAAAGACGGUUUUGCUGUCACUUAUAGAUGGAUCCGCGCCGCAUUAGCUAGUUGGUAAGGUAACGGCUUACCAAGGCAACGAUGCGUAGCCGACCUGAGAGGGUGAUCGGCCACACUGGAACUGAGACACGGUCCAGACUCCUACGGGAGGCAGCAGUAGGGAAUCUUCCGCAAUGGGCGAAAGCCUGACGGAGCAACGCCGCGUGAGUGAUGAAGGUCUUCGGAUCGUAAAACUCUGUUAUUAGGGAAGAACAAAUGUGUAAGUAACUAUGCACGUCUUGACGGUACCUAAUCAGAAAGCCACGGCUAACUACGUG
rnacentral:rRNA from 1 species